rnacentral:rRNA from 1 species
UACGGAGGGUGCAAGCGUUACUCGGAAUCACUGGGCGUAAAGCGCGCGCAGGCGGGCUGAUAAGCUGGGUGUGAAAGCCUAUGGCUCAACCAUAGAACUGCAUCCAGAACUGUCAGUCUCGAGUCUGGGAGGGGAAGAUGGAAUUAGUUGUGUAGGGGUAAAAUCCGUAGAGAUAACUAGGAAUACCAAAAGCGAAGGCGAUCUUCUGGAACAGUACUGACGCUGAGGCGCGAAAGCGUGGGGAGCAAACAGGAUUAGAUACCCUGGUAGUCCACGCCCUAAACGAUGAAUGUUAGUCGUUGGAGAGCUUGUCUCUUCAGUGAUGCAGCUAACGCAUUAAACAUUCCGCCUGGGGAGUACGGUCGCAAGAUUAAAACUCAAAGGAAUAGACGGGGACCCGCACAAGUGGUGGAGCAUGUGGUUUAAUUCGAAGAUACGCGAAGAACCUUACCUGGCCUUGACAUUGAUGGAAUCCUGUAGAGAUACGGGAGUGCCCUUCGGGGAGCCUGAAAACAGGUGCUGCACGGCUGUCGUCAGCUCGUGUCGUGAGAUGUUGGGUUAAGUCCCGCAACGAGCGCAACCCUCGUGAUUAGUUACUAACGGUUCGGCCGAGGACUCUAAUCAGACUGCCUCCGCAAGGAGGAGGAAGGUGAGGACGACGUCAAGUCAUCAUGGCCCUUACGGCCAGGGCGACACACGUGCUACAAUGGGGUGUACAAUGAGACGCAAUACCGCGAGGUGGAGCAAAUCUAUAAAGCAUCUCUCAGUUCGGAUAGCAGUCUGCAACUCGACUGCUUGAAGCUGGAAUCACUAGUAAUCGUGGAUCAGCCAUGCCACGGUGAAUACGUUCCCGGGUC